rnacentral:rRNA from 1 species
UAACACUAACUGGAGGACCGAACCGACUAAUGUUGAAAAAUUAGCGGAUGACCUGUGGCUGGGGGUGAAAGGCCAAUCAAACCGGGAGAUAGCUGGUUCUCCCCGAAAGCUAUUUAGGUAGCGCCUCGUGAAUUCAUCUCCGGGGGUAGAGCACUGUUUCGGCUAGGGGGCCAUCCCGGCUUACCAACCCGAUGCAAACUGCGAAUACCGGAGAAUGUUAUCACGGGAGACACACGGCGGGUGCUAACGUCCGUCGUGAAGAGGGAAACAACCCAGACCGCCAGCUAAGGUCCCAAAGUCAUGGUUAAGUGGGAAACGAUGUGGGAAGGCCCAGACAGCCAGGAUGUUGGCUUAGAAGCAGCCAUCAUUUAAAGAAAGCGUAAUAGCUCACUGGUCGAGUCGGCCUGCGCGGAAGAUGUAACGGGGCUAAACCAUGCACCGAAGCUGCGGCAGCGACACUGUGUGUUGUUGGGUAGGGGAGCGUUCUGUAAGCCUGUGAAGGUGUGUCGUGAGGCAUGCUGGAGGUAUCAGAAGUGCGAAUGCUGACAUAAGUAACGAUAAAGCGGGUGAAAAGCCCGCUCGCCGGAAGACCAAGGGUUCCUGUCCAACGUUAAUCGGGGCAGGGUGAGUCGACCCCUAAGGCGAGGCCGAAAGGCGUAGUCGAUGGGAAACGGGUUAAUAUUCCCGUACUUGGUGUUACUGCGAAGGGGGGACGGAGAAGGCUAUGUUGGCCGGGCGACGGUUGUCCCGGUUUAAGCGUGUAGGUGUGUGUUCCAGGUAAAUCCGGUUCACUUUAACACUGAGGCGUGACGACGAGGCACUACGGUGCUGAAGCAACAAAUGCCCUGCUUCCAGGAAAAGCCUCUAAGCAUCAGGUAACAUCAAAUCGUACCCCAAACCGACACAGGUGGUCAGGUAGAGAAUACCAAGGCGCUUGAGAGAACUCGGGUGAAGGAACUAGGCAAAAUGGUGCCGUAACUUCGGGAGAAGGCACGCUGACACGUAGGUGAAGUGAUUUACUCAUGGAGCUGAAGUCAGUCGAAGAUACCAGCUGGCUGCAACUGUUUAUUAAAAACACAGCACUGUGCAAACACGAAAGUGGACGUAUACGGUGUGACGCCUGCCCGGUGCCGGAAGGUUAAUUGAUGGGGUCAGCGCAAGCGAAGCUCCUGAUCGAAGCCCCGGUAAACGGCGGCCGUAACUAUAACGGUCCUAAGGUAGCGAAAUUCCUUGUCGGGUAAGUUCCGACCUGCACGAAUGGCGUAAUGAUGGCCAGGCUGUCUCCACCCGAGACUCAGUGAAAUUGAACUCGCUGUGAAGAUGCAGUGUACCCGCGGCAAGACGGAAAGACCCCGUGAACCUUUACUAUAGCUUGACACUGAACAUUGAGCCUUGAUGUGUAGGAUAGGUGGGAGGCUUUGAAGUGUGGACGCCAGUCUGCAUGGAGCCGACCUUGAAAUACCACCCUUUAAUGUUUGAUGUUCUAACGUGGACCCGUUACCCGGGUUGCGGACAGUGUCUGGUGGGUAGUUUGACUGGGGCGGUCUCCUCCUAAAGAGUAACGGAGGAGCACGAAGGUUGGCUAAUCCUGGUCGGACAUCAGGAGGUUAGUGCAAUGGCAUAAGCCAGCUUGACUGCGAGCGUGACGGCGCGAGCAGGUGCGAAAGCAGGUCAUAGUGAUCCGGUGGUUCUGAAUGGAAGGGCCAUCGCUCAACGGAUAAAAGGUACUCCGGGGAUAACAGGCUGAUACCGCCCAAGAGUUCAUAUCGACGGCGGUGUUUGGCACCUCGAUGUCGGCUCAUCACAUCCUGGGGCUGAAGUAGGUCCCAAGGGUAUGGCUGUUCGCCAUUUAAAGUGGUACGCGAGCUGGGUUUAGAACGUCGUGAGACAGUUCGGUCCCUAUCUGCCGUGGGCGCUGGAGAACUGAGGGGGGCUGCUCCUAGUACGAGAGGACCGGAGUGGACGCAUCACUGGUGUUCGGGUUGUCAUGCCAAUGGCACUGCCCGGUAGCUAAAUUCGGAAGAGAUAAGUGCUGAAAGCAUCUAAGCACGAAACUUGCCCCGAGAUGAGUUCUCCCUGAGACUUAGAGUCUCCUGAAGGAACGUUGAAGACGACGACGUUGAUAGGCCGGGUGUGUAAGCGCAGCGAUGCGUUGAGCUAACCGGUACUAAUGAACCGUGAGGCUUAACCUUACAACGCCGAAG